CAGCAUGGCAUAGAAACUCAAAUUUGUCUUCAUUACAUAUUACAUAAGUCACAUAGGUCAGGUAUUUCGGUUGUUUUCAAUGGCCUUCAAACUUCAGCUUUUCGGAUGAAAUAAGACCCUUCAUAAUUGGAUUUCUCAGAAGUUUAUUUAAAUACUACUUAUACUGUUGUUAUAUAUUACUGUUGCUAUAUAUAUAUUAAGUAAGUUUUUCACCAGGAUAUAUUCAUAAAAACACUGUCUAACAUUUACUCCAUCAAAGGUAUUUGUAUGCACAAACUACGAUCCUGAUGGAGUCGAAAGCUACGAAAGUAGAGUGACAGAUCUCUUUACUCGAUAACUGUCCUUAUCCUUCACCAUGCUGGGUUCCUGGCCUUGCUUCAUCUAAAUACACAGCUGGUCAUAACCCUAAACCCUAUUUCAAAUGCUUUGUGAUCAACUGAGGAGCAGUGGAAGACAUAUUCAAUGGUUUCCAGAUUUAUUGAGACCAACAUAAUAGAUGACAUGCACACUAUAGUUCGGUAUUGCACACAGAGCAUUUAAUUGCUAAAUUCUAGUGCUGCCUUAUUGAUUUGAAAUGAAAAAUGACUGAAAGACGAAAAAGACUGGCGCUCAGGACUGCCAUGAUAUAAACAACUGCACUGCAAAGAUUGAAUACCAGAUGCCUUAGGAAUGUGGAGUCGAACUGACCGUAACGACAUCGAGGAAGUUAUUAACAGCAUCAAAUCUGGGGAUGUCGAAGUUGACAAAACAGUUGAAAUGUUGAAUACUAUAGCUAUCUUAUUCAGCACUACCGAGAGGGUAUGGUAUUGCACCUCAGUUCAGGAUGCCAGACAAUAUUGUAUGCCGAUAAAAAAUGCUGCCAAUGAACACUAGACGAUUGUAUAACUUAUUCGUACAUCUGCAUAUUUAAUACCACAAACUUAUCGAUAAAUUGGCUAUCGGCUGUACUUCGAAUAAUCAGUUAAGAAGAAUUUCCAAUUUAAAUAUUAUGAUAUAUUAUUACAGAGAUAAUUUUGGACACGUAAGUUAAAGUUAAAGUUUGUUUCAAAUCGUGAAAUCUGUUUUGAUGAUAGAUUAUAUUUACAUAGCAUAUGUUUGAGAUAAAUUGGGGUCUUAGAGUAAUAUUAUGUAUCGUUAAUUGAUACUUCGAACUUUUGGAUAUCGAGCCUUUUUUUAGGAUUACAUGAUUUAUUGAUUAAGCUGUAUUUAAGGUUUUAGUUUUUCGAAACGUUUUGAAUUCAAUCUCGUGCUGGCUGCGUUUUCAUGCUGGUCGAAUAAAACUAAAGAGUAUUCUUAGCAGAACAGUAAGAUUUCUAAUCAUUAGACUUUGGGUUAAAAAGUUAAAAGGUACAAAAUACGAAUGUUAUAAUGGCCCGAUAAUUCGGAUUGAAAUUUUGUUUAUGAGCAUGUAACUUUUGAUACACAAAUCUUAUAUAUUAUAACCUGAUCAAAGAAAUUAUUGACAAAAA